GGGACUGUACGGAUUCGACGGAAAGAACUUUGAUGCGGGUGGCAAGCCGAGCAGGUAUCGUUAGGCUCGUAAAAAUUUCGAUACAACCUACAAGUGCAAAUUCACUUGUCGAGAAGGUAAAGACAGCUUUUGCUGGACUUACACUCUCACCUGCUGUAGCCUAAGGGCGACAGCUGUCUCUAUAGCCCUUUAACCUGGAGAGCUAUAUGAGGCAUGACCAAUCAGGUUUGCGGCUUGCAAGAUAGUCCUAGUAGCAGGCUCAAGUAAACAAGGACAUACCCGAAGCUUGUGCAUCUACUCCAUCAUCGCCUUUACCGGACGGGGGUUCGAUUCCCCCCAGUUCCACCA
rnacentral:tmRNA from 1 species